rnacentral:rRNA from 1 species
CCUGGAAACAGAUGUUAAUACCGGAUAACAACAGAUGAUGCCUAUCAACUGUUUAAAAGAUGGUUCUGCUAUCACUCUUGGAUGGACCUGCGGUGCAUUAGCUAGUUGGUAGGGUAACGGCCUACCAAGGCGAUGAUGCAUAGCCGAGUUGAGAGACUGAUCGGCCACAUUGGGACUGAGACACGGCCCAAACUCCUACGGGAGGCAGCAGCG